AAAAAUAUAAAAAAUGUUGCGUGGGUGUCAGGUGUCCUACUUAUAUAAGUGCACUCGUAACAACCUAAUAAUUACGAAACUUAAAUUAAAUCAACUAAACAUCACGUAGCAAAUAAGCCAUAAACCAAAUUCGACACUCGCAUUGACAUCCAUACAAAAACUCCCCACUUGGUGGAAGCAGGUUUCCCUCUGAGUUAAGCCUCUCUCUUUACCUCUUACACUCACUCUGCUUGUAGUAUUUUAGAAGCGAUCAUAGGGCGAAGAGUCCAUGUCGUAUUUGUUAUUGCAUGAAAUGCUUCAUACCUGCUUGCCUAGCCUACGAUAAUUGAUAAUACUGCUUCUUAUUCUAUAUCAUAAUGUCUCAUUACGAAGCAGUAAAGGUCCAUGGUUAUGAUGAAUUUUGCAAAGCAAUGUCUGAGAGGAAAGGAAAGGACAUUUGCAUAUUUCUCUGGUGAUAAAAGACGCUCAAGGGUUGAGCUGGUGUCCAGAUUGUGUGAAAGCUGAGCCAGUUGUUAGAGGAGAGAUGUCCCACCUUCCUGAGGGCUCAGUCUUCUUCUACUGUCAGGUUGGAGAGUGGCCAUAGUGCAACUUGUGCUGGGGACAAUAAAAGGCCACUCUUGGCAUGCUGACUGAGGAAUGUUCACCAGAGCUGUUGACAGUUGGAAGGAUCCCAAUAAUGAAUUCAAGAAGACUCUGAAGCUCAGUGGAGUUCCCACUCUGAUCCGAUAUGGCACGCCUCAGAAGCUGGUUGAGGAGGAGUGCUUCAAAGCUGACCUGGUGAGGAUGAUGUUCACUGAGGACUAGAGGGCUACAGAGGACCACACUUGUCCUGCACUUGGUCAUCUUCCAUUUCCCCCUCUCCUGAGAUCCAGUCCCAGCCCAAUCACCUUUUCACUACACUUGAUUGAAUUGAUUGUUUCUUUGGAAUUCAAAUACACACUCCUCUCCCUGUGAGGUAGUGUCAAUCAGUGAAUGUGUUGCUAUUCUUACACGGAAAUAAAAAGCAACUAUAACAUAACCAGAGGCCUUGGUAGAGCUAGCUGACUGCUUUUAGAACUUGAUGUUUAAUUUAGUAAAUUAAAUAGACGAGUUAUAAUAACAUAGCCCACUUUUGACAAAUAAAUUAGAUUCCCAUAAGUGGUAGGCAGCCUACUCCUAGAAUGUGUUGGGCCAGACAAAUUGUGUCAAAUGAAUUGAAUCUCAUCAAUUGAUGAUUCUUGUUUCUUACUUACGGCAGUACUCUAUAGAGUGAGGAUAUAAACUGAAGCAUUACCUGGUAUACUGUGAUUGUUAUAGUGUAUAACUUAGUCAAAUUGAAAGAAAUGAUGGCUGGAUGAAAACAUUUUAAUGUGUGAAAAGAAGUUUGUCUAUAGUGCAGUUCACUUUGUGAGAAGCUAGGUGGCUCCCUCAGCUUGUCUAAAUAUAUUAGGCCUAGUAUGUCUUAUAAUAACAUUUUAAAAAUCUGAAAUUAUAGAAAUAUAAAUUGUAACUUUUUAUGCGAAAUUACAAAUUAGAUAAUAUAAUUGGCACAUUUGAUAUG